CAGGCCUCUUUGCGAUAUGAGGCUGUUGAAUUCAUUGGGCUGGCUUUGCAGCACUCCGGACACCAAAGCAGGGAGAAGCUGAAUGUAAUUUGCAGUGCCCUCCAGCCUUUGAGAGGCGAUGCCCACCCAGCAGUCCGUUCCGUGGCAACUGGAGUAAUCCAGAAAUGUCAAGGCCAGAAGGCAGAACCAACACGGAGGAGGUUCAAAGGACUGUGCUGCUGGCCCUGCUGAGCCAUGUGUCCUUAUCAAGACGACUCUGAUUAAAACUGGCAUUACAAAGCCAUUCCCUUGCAUGGGGAUACAGAUCCACUGGAGGCCUGGACAAUCAGCAACGACACGCAGUUCCACUGAAGGACAGACCAGACCUUUAAGCUGGCAUUCAUUGCUCCUAAGGACCCCGUGGCUUUCCUUCAUGUUCUUUCAAGCCCUCCAGCCUUUGGAAGAUGACGCCCAC
ensembl:lncRNA